AUGGGAGGUCGUGCCUUCCCGGUGAGCCUUCGGGCUUAAACGGACGCGGUAAAUCGUGCUAAGGUAGCUAAAUUACGGCCUGUUAAUUGCAGGUCCUGUGAAUGGUUUGACGAGCCUCCAACUGUCUCUAGUUUAUUUUGGUGAACUUGAAUUGGAUGUGCAAAUGCUUCCAUAGGUGAGAAAGACGAGAAGACCCCGUGAAGCUAAAAAUUUUAGUUGUGUAGGUUAGGCCCCCGGGCCAAAGGUUGGCUAAAACUGAGCUGAUGAGUUCAGCUGAAUGGGGGGGGCAGUGAUAGGUUUUGGCUGGGGCAGCGAAAGAGCAAAACUAGACUCUUUUAGUAGAGAGGCGGGUGCGUGACGACCCACAUAGGUUAUUUUUUGUGAUUAACAGAAGAAGUUACUCCGGGGAUAACAGCGUUAUCCGCCCUGACAGUCCUUAUAGACGGGUGGGUUUGCGACCUCGAUGUUGGCUCUGGAUAUCCUUAGGCUUGUAGGCGGUCUUUAAGGUUGGUUCGUUCGCCCAUGAAAAUCC
rnacentral:rRNA from 1 species